UCCUUGUUAGUAUAUCGGUUCAGUACACGCGCUUGUCAUUCGUGCAUAGUGUAGCGAGCCGUUCCCUUACUACGCGCGAGAGCUGGGUUCGACUCCCAGACAGGGAG